UGCAGCUCUCCACCUUUAAAGACAGUGCUUCAAAACUGCUGCAAGACUAUGAAUAGAGAACACAAGAAUAACCCUCCUCUGUAGAUGUUUCUGUCAACAUGAAGAACUACAAAAGCUUAACAGAUCCCUGGACUUACAGAAAACAAAACAAGGAUACUCCUAUCCCUCUAUUCUUGGUGUCUGGAUGGAAUUCUUUUGAUUUGCACUUGGGAUCUUCUGAAUUGGCCUGCCUGACUACUACUGGACAUGCUAAGGCCUUGUGACAAGUUUACCUAUGGUUGCUGCAAUCGUUACCUGCAACUAACUGUGUCAUCUACUUGUUUCACCCUAUAGUUAUUCCUUGGCCUUUUCAGUGGUUAUAUACACUAUUGUUACUGUUUGUAAACACUGUGAAGAAUACACAUGUUGUAUUUCUUGAUGGAACUGCUCCUACAGACUUUAUUGCUUUCAUUUCUGCAACACAUUUCUCUUACUACUAAUGUAGUUGUGAACUGGACGUUCUCUGCAAUGACGCUGCUAUUAAUUUGAUUCCUUCAAUCAAGACUUGGACAUCUUUGCUUAUGAACUAUGUAAUUGUUGGAAUAUUCUUUAUUGUAGUGUAUGACGUCAAAUCCACUGUCUUUUGUUUGAAAUAUGUCUGGUAUAUGUCUGGUAGUUUCUUCUGUGUUGGCCCUUAGUGUUUUAUCAUUGGGAUUGUGUCUUUUACAAAAAGAAAAGAAAGUGGGGGAAUGUGGAGUUAUAAAAUAUAGAAUAUGGAAUGAAGAGUUAGAAAUAUAAUUAACAUACGGCUAGAUUACGAGUUUGGUGUUAUGAUU